rnacentral:lncRNA from 1 species
UUAUCAUCAUUGCUUCCACCACAUUUCAGAUAUCUUUAUUACCAACAUCGCAACAACCGUUAUCGCCACUUCUACUAUAUCAUAGCCUCUAUCACUCAAUCCGUCAUCUCCAUUAUCAUCAUCAUAUUUAGAUUUUUAAAAAUAAUUGAUCAUAUCUAAACAUUUAUAUUUUUAAAAUUUAGAAGAAGUGAAAAUAAUUUUUUAUUUUUUACUUCUGAAAAUAGAGAAAAUGAAAGUGAUGCUAGCCAAUACCUGGUUAUAUAUCCUAGAUUUUGGAAUGUGAAAGGAACGUAUGUAAGUAUAACUA